rnacentral:rRNA from 1 species
CGGAAACAUGUCUAGCUUGCUAGAUGAUGUCGAGUGGCGGACGGGUGAGUAAUGCUUGGGAACUUGCCUUUGCGAGGGGGAUAACAGUUGGAAACGACUGCUAAUACCGCAUAAUGUCUUCGGACCAAACGGGGCUUCGGCUCCGGCGCAAAGAGAGGCCCAAGUGAGAUUAGCUAGUUGGUGAGGUAAAAGCUCACCAAGGCAACGAUCUCUAGCUGUUCUGAGAGGAAGAUCAGCCACACUGGGACUGAGACACGGCCCAGACUCCUACGGGAGGCAGCAGUGGGGAAUAUUGCACAAUGGGGGAAACCCUGAUGCAGCCAUGCCGCGUGUGUGAAGAAGGCCUUCGGGUUGUAAAGCACUUUCAGUUGUGAGGAAAAGUUAGUAGUUAAUACCUGCUAGCCGUGACGUUAACAACAGAAGAAGCACCGGCUAACUCCGUGCCAGCAGCCGCGGUAAUACGGAGGGUGCGAGCGUUAAUCGGAAUUACUGGGCGUAAAGCGCACGCAGGCGGUUUGUUAAGCUAGAUGUGAAAGCCCCGGGCUCAACCUGGGACGGUCAUUUAGAACUGGCAGACUAGAGUCUUGGAGAGGGGAGUGGAAUUCCAGGUGUAGCGGUG